rnacentral:lncRNA from 1 species
CGCGGGGUUGGCUGCCGGGAGGUCGACGCUAGUGCGGUGCCCCGCGCGGCGGAGGGGCCCGGGCCGCGGAAUCUGCGCACUGAGACGUCGGCGGAAGGCUAGAGGCCGUGCUCUCGCCACCGCAGAAGGCCACCACUCCUUGAGAAGGCCGGAGGGACAAAGCACCGGGCCUGCGCCGGGGGCAUUCAAGAAGGAAGCCAGGCCCGACCGGGGGGUGGCGCACGCUUCCCGAACCCCAGGCCCACGGCCCGGUUCCGCGCGGGCAGUUGGCGCCCCCUCGGGUCGGCACAGCAGACCUCUUAGUAAUGGUCCCCAGGAAGUACAGGGACUGAGAAACGGAAAUACUACCAUCCUCCAGCCAAUCUGUUGGGAGGACUGCUUGCAGAGGACUCGUGCUCCAGAUGUUGCACUAGAGGCGCUGCAAGUGUGAGCAGCAGGUAGAUGAAACUCAAGAGAAAAGGUGUGGAUAAAUGAAACUAGCCCAUGAUGAACCUGUUUUCUCCGUGACCACAAUAUUAACCAGGAUGAUGGCGGUUGAGGAAGUUACACAGAAAAUGACUGAAGCUAGCAGAAGUUGGUU